rnacentral:rRNA from 1 species
UACGAAGGGGGCUAGCGUUGCUCGGAAUCACUGGGCGUAAAGGGUGCGUAGGCGGGUCUUUUAAGUCAGGGGUGAAAUCCUGGAGCUCAACUCCAGAACUGCCUUUGAUACUGAGGAUCUUGAGUUCGGGAGGGGUGAGUGGAACUGCGAGUGUAGAGGUGAAAUUCGUAGAUAUUCGCAAGAACACCAGUGGCGAAGGCGGCUCACUGGCCCGAUACUGACGCUGAGGCACGAAAGCGUGGGGAGCAAACAGG